UUUUGUCACUGGUGUUGCCUUACUUCUCUGGCAAUUUGAAAGGUUUUUAUGAAAUAUUAUUUCUCAAUUUUUUUUCUGUACAUGUAG